rnacentral:sRNA from 1 species
UAAGCGUUUUUCUAUACCGUAUGUGCCU